AAAAUAUCCGAAAAACUCAAAACACUAUAAAACUCUCUACAUCAAAAUUUAUAACUUUUCAUUCAAUGGGAUACAUUUGAGUUGGAUUACAUGACGUGUCCCGGUAUGGAGAUCCUAAAGGUGAAAUCUGAGCAGGGGAGGUUACAAGUGCUUGGAAGUUGUAUAGGUUCUCCCUACAUGUUCCAUUUCUUUGAAUAGAAGACUUUCUGCGAUGAUAAACUGCAAAAGUUAUCAACAUUGAUGACUUAAAUCUCUACCUUCCUGUAUUGACAGUUCGCCUCUUCAGUUUGAAAUAAACUCAACACAAAAAACAUUGAUAUACAUUUGGGUUACUUACUUUCAGAAAUUGAAUUAUUGAAUAAAAAUCGAUUUAUUCUUUUGAUCUCAGCUGGUUCUAGACCUGUAUAAUCAAAAAACGAAAUAGUUUCCUCACCUGUCCCAGGAUGCAUUUUAGAAGUUUCGAAUAAUAAAUCUUUUAUUCGUUUGACCUCCGCUACUUCUAAGUCUGUUAGAUCUAGGAACUGAAGAUUCUAAAGAAAAAGAAAAACCCAAUAUAAUUGUGGUUACUAUUAUUGAAAGUGUAGUAUUUUUUAUUUGAUAAACACACAAAAACAAAAUAUCCGAAAAACUCAAAACACUAUAAAACUCUCUACAUCAAAAUUUAUAACUUUUCAUUCAAUGGGAUACAUUUGAGUUGGAUUACAUGACGUGUCUCGGUAUGGAGAUCCAAAAGGUGAAAUCUGAGCAGGGGAGGUUACAAGUGCUUGGAAGUUGUAUAGGUUCUCCCAACAUGUUCCAUUUCGUUGAGUAGAAGACUUUCUGCGAUGAUUAUCUCAAAAAGUUAUCAAUAUUAAUGGACAAAACCUAAAUCUCUACCUUCCUGUAUUGACAGUUCGCCUCUUCAGUUUGAAAUAAACUCAACACAAAAAAUAUUGAUAUACAUUCGGGUUACUUACUUUCAGAAAUUGAAUUAUUGAAUAACAAUGUAUUUAUUCUAUCGAUCUCCACCGCUUCUAGACCUGUCAAAUCUAAAAAGGAAAUUGUUUCUUCUUUGAAUAAUGAAGCUUUUAUUCUAUCAAUCUCCGCUGCAUCUAAUCCUGUCAAAUCUAAAAAACUGUAGGAAAUUGUUUCUUCACCUGUCCCAGGUAAUUGCAUUUUAGAGGAAGUUUUGAAUAAUAAAUCAUUUAUUCUCUGUACCUCCGCUGCAUCUGAGCCUGUUAACUCUAAAAACUGAAGAUUCUAAAAUAAAAUAAAAUAAAAACUCAAUAUAAUAGUGGAAACCAAAGUUUUUACGAAAGUAAAAUAUCCGAAAAACACAGAACACUAUGAAACUCUCUUCAUCAAAAUUUAUAACUUUUCGUUCAAUGGGAUACAUUUGUGUUGGAUCACAUGACGUAUCUCGGUAUGGAGAUCCUAAAGGUGAAACCUGAGGAGGAGAGGUUACAAGUGCUUGGAAGUUGUAUAGGUUUUCCCAACAUACUUCUUUUCGUUGAAUAGAAAAUUUUCUGCGAUGAUUAUCUGAAAAUGUUAUCAAUAUAAAUGAUUAGCUCUUAAAUCUCUACCUUCCUGUAUUGACAGUUCGCCUCUUCUGUUUGAAAUAAACUAAACACAAAAAACAUUGAUAUACAUUCCGGUUACUUACUUUCAGAAAUUGAAUUAUUGGAUAAUAAUCUUCUAAUUCUUUCCACCUCCGCUGGUUCAAGACCUGUGAAAUCAAUAAAAGAAAUUUCUUCUUUGAAUAAUAUACCUUUUAUUUCAUUGACCUCCGCUGGUUCUAAGUCUGAUAGAUCUAGGAAUCUUUUGAGAUAUCAAUACUUACUUUCAGGAAUUGAAUUUUUGAACAAUAAUCUAUUUAUUCUAUCGAUCUCUCUUGGUUCUAGACCUGUCAUAUCUAGAAAGGAAAUAUUUUCUUCACCUGUCCCAGGAUGCAUUUUAGAAGUUUCGAAUAAUAAAUCUUUUAUUCUUUUGACUUCCGCUGCUUCUAGGUCUGAUAGAUCUAGGAACUAAAAAAAAAAGAAAAACCCAAUAUAAUUGUGGUUACUAUUAUUGAAAGUGUAGUAUUUUUCAUUUGAUAAACACACAAAAGUAAAAUAUCCGAAAAACUCAAAACACCAUAAAACUCUCUACAUCAACAUUUAUAACUUACAUUCGAAAAUAUUCGAUUAUGAAGGUAAUUAAAUUAAAUUAUCGAAAUAACCAAAAUCUACUAUCAGAAAAUAUUCAUCCCCAUAUUGAAACAAUUGUCUUAUUGAACUCAUAAACAUUACACUUCAAUAAUUGUUCAUAAGAAAUCCAUGAAAUGAAUGAUCGUUAAAUAGAGUUUAGAUACAAUUCGACAGAAACAUAAAAUUUUUAAUCCGGCAUGACAAACAUGGAAUAUUUUCCUUUAUCAACGAUAAGUUUGGGAGAUGAUUUCCAGGAUUAGUUUGAAUUAAAGAAAUAAAAUCGACUAUAGCAUCCGAAUAUUUUGAACAAAUUAAUAUCAUCGAAAUUGAUUCCUCGCAUAUCGCUUGUGAAAGCACUAAGAUAUAAGCACCACUAAAUACUCGCAAAUACUAAGCACUUUGUAAAAGUAAUUCGGUUUUUCGAGCACUGAGCACUAACCAAUUUAUAGGGAACUUUUUUCAAUCGGAAUAAAUAUUGUACCUAUUCAACAUAUGUAUGAUUAUUGACGAUUAUAAGAGAGAUUACAUCUAUAGUCCGUUCAGGAA